AGUGAUCCUCCCGCCUUGGCCUCCCAGAGUGCUACGAUUACAGGAGCAAAUAUGCUUGGCAAACAUGCCAAUUUCAACCGUGUAGUAAAUGGCGGGGCCGGGACUCCAGGCAGGAUCCUGUUGGCUGGCAUUUAUUGUAAAAGAAUUUAAGAAGAAAAUAUUGGCGACAGUUCACCAAAAAACAUGGAUAUGAAUGUGAUAAAACAACAUGGUGUUUCAAACCCAAGACAACAUGGAAUAAAUAAGAAAACAAAAUUCCCCAAAGUUCUCUUGACACACUUGCUAUUGGAAUCCAG